UGAGAGUCCAGCUCAUGUCACAGCUUCAGUCUGCUUUGGUGGAACGAGGGUUUUCUGACGUGACGCUGCAAUGGUCUCAACCGCCCAAACAGGAAGUGAUGCGGAAGGAAGCUGCGCCAGCUCAGUGUGCUCGAAGA